rnacentral:rRNA from 1 species
GUUAAGCGACUAAGCGUACACGGUGGAUGCCCUGGCAGUCAGAGGCGAUGAAGGACGUGCUAAUCUGCGAUAAGCGUCGGUAAGGUGAUAUGAACCGUUAUAACCGGCGAUUUCCGAAUGGGGAAACCCAGUGUGUUUCGACACACUAUCAUUAACUGAAUCCAUAGGUUAAUGAGGCGAACCGGGGGAACUGAAACAUCUAAGUACCCCGAGGAAAAGAAAUCAACCGAGAUUCCCCCAGUAGCGGCGAGCGAACGGGGAGCAGCCCAGAGCCUGAAUCAGUGUGUGUGUUAGUGGAAGCGUCUGGAAAGGCGCGCGAUACAGGGUGACAGCCCCGUACACAAAAAUGCACAUGCUGUGAGCUCGAUGAGUAGGGCGGGACACGUGGUAUCCUGUCUGAAUAUGGGGGGACCAUCCUCCAAGGCUAAAUACUCCUGACUGACCGAUAGUGAACCAGUACCGUGAGGGAAAGGCGAAAAGAACCCCGGCGAGGGGAGUGAAAAAGAACCUGAAACCGUGUACGUACAAGCAGUGGGAGCACGCUUAGGCGUGUGACUGCGUACCUUUUGUAUAAUGGGUCAGCGACUUAUAUUCUGUAGCAAGGUUAACCGAAUAGGGGAGCCGAAGGGAAACCGAGUCUUAACUGGGCGUUAAGUUGCAGGGUAUAGACCCGAAACCCGGUGAUCUAGCCAUGGGCAGGUUGAAGGUUGGGUAACACUAACUGGAGGACCGAACCGACUAAUGUUGAAAAAUUAGCGGAUGACUUGUGGCUGGGGGUGAAAGGCCAAUCAAACCGGGAGAUAGCUGGUUCUCCCCGAAAGCUAUUUAGGUAGCGCCUCGUGAAUUCAUCUCCGGGGGUAGAGCACUGUUUCGGCAAGGGGGUCAUCCCGACUUACCAACCCGAUGCAAACUGCGAAUACCGGAGAAUGUUAUCACGGGAGACACACGGCGGGUGCUAACGUCCGUCGUGAAGAGGGAAACAACCCAGACCGCCAGCUAAGGUCCCAAAGUCAUGGUUAAGUGGGAAACGAUGUGGGAAGGCCCAGACAGCCAGGAUGUUGGCUUAGAAGCAGCCAUCAUUUAAAGAAAGCGUAAUAGCUCACUGGUCGAGUCGGCCUGCGCGGAAGAUGUAACGGGGCUAAACCAUGCACCGAAGCUGCGGCAGCGACGCUUAUGCGUUGUUGGGUAGGGGAGCGUUCUGUAAGCCUGUGAAGGUGUACUGUGAGG